rfam:Anolis carolinensis chromosome Tnknown cont2.35081, whole genome shotgun sequence.
CUAAAGGCCCUUUUUGGGGCCACCUUGAUGAUGAGAGCAGGUUAC